CUGCCAGCCACAAGAGCAGAGGAACACCCAGGGAAGAAGGGAACAAAGCAUUUUAGUCGCGUGUUCAGAGGAGCAAAGAACAGGAUAUGAACAACUUGGUGCCAGACAACUGAAUUUCCUGGGUGUAAAGUCUACUGCUGACUGCAGCUGAGGCACCAAUUGCUACAUUGUACGGCUGCAGUUGCUGCUUGCUUCCCAUCCUUCCCCACAAGGGGAAGUUAACUGGAUUACAGUGCAUACUCCCUGCACUGCUGUUUGACGCCAGGUGGCAGAAGAUUGGGGAGCAAGAAUUACAGUCCAAUUACAGUCCAA